rnacentral:rRNA from 1 species
UUCCGGUUGAUCCCGCCGGAGGCUACCGCUAUUGGAGUUCGAUUAAGCCAUGCGAGUCGCGAGAAUUAGAUUCUCGGCGUACCGCUCAGUAACACGUGGGUAACCUGCCCUAUGCUGGAUAAUAACCUCGGGAAACUGAGAAUAAUGAUCUAUAGUUCACUACGCCUGGAACGGUGAGUGGAUGAAAGCUCCGGCGGCAUAGGAUGGGCCUGCGGCGUAUCAGGUUGUAGGGGGUGUAAUGUACCCUCUAGCCCUCUACGCGUACGGGUGUUGAGAGACAUCGCCCGGAGAUGGAUUCUGAGACACGAAUCCAGACCCUACGGGGUGCAGCAGGCGCGAAAACUUGGCAAUGCGAGAAAUCGUGACCAGGGAACUCCAAGUGCAUGGGGUAAGACCUAUGCUUUUCUAGACUCUAAAAAGGUCUUGGAAUAAGAGGUGGGUAAGGACGGUGCCAGCCGCCGCGGUAAUACCGGCGCCUCAAGUGGUAGUCGCUUUUAUUGGGCCUAAAACGUCCGUAGCCGGUCUGAUACAUUCGUGGGUAAAUCAACCAGCUUAACUGGUUGAAUUCUGCGAGGACGGUCAGACUUGGGACCGGGAGAGGUGUGGGGUACGCUCAGGGUAGGGGUAAAAUCCUGUCAUCCUGAGCGGACCACCUGUUGCGAAGGCGCCACACUAGAACGGAUCCGACGGUCAGGGACGAAGCCUAGGGGCACGAACCGGAUUAGAUACCCGGGUAGUCCUAGGUGUAAACGCUGUGGACUUGAUGUUGGGGGUGCUCCGAGCACUCUCAGUGUCGAAGCGAAGGCGAUAAGUCCACUGCCUGGGAAGUACGGUCGCAAGGCUGAAACUUAAAGGAAUUGGCGGGGGAGCACCGCAACCUGAGGAUUGUGCGGUUUAAUUGGAGUCAACGCCGG